rnacentral:rRNA from 1 species
GACGAACGCUGGCGGCGUGCUUAACACAUGCAAGUCGAACGGAAAGGCCCUGCUUUUGUGGGGUGCUCGAGUGGCGAACGGGUGAGUAACACGUGAGUAACCUGCCCUUGACUUUGGGAUAACUUCAGGAAACUGGGGCUAAUACCGGAUAGGAGCUCCUGCUGCAUGGUGGGGGUUGGAAAGUUUCGGCGGUUGGGGAUGGACUCGCGGCUUAUCAGCUUGUUGGUGGGGUAGUGGCUUACCAAGGCUUUGACGGGCAGCCGGCCUGAGAGGGUGACCGGCCACAUUGGGACUGAGAUACGGCCCAGACUCCUACGGGAGGCAGCAGUGGGGAAUAUUGCACAAUGGGCGGAAGCCUGAUGCAGCAACGCCGCGUGCGGGAUGACGGCCUUCGGGUUGUAAACCGCUUUCGCCUGUGACGAAGCGAGAGUGACGGUAAUGGGUAAAGAAGCACCGGCUAACUACGUG